CUCUCUUUCUCUCUCUCUCUGUGUCUGUCUCUCUCUCUUGCAGUUAUUACUCAUAGCUAAGCUUCACUCAGUUUUGAUUCUUGAGUCUGCAUUUCUUUUAAUAGUAAUGUGUUUUGGUCAUUCAUGGGCGCGUAAAGGCUUUAACACAUCUUUUUUACUGACUUGUAUCCUUUGACAUUGCUUUUUCAAUUUUCUAUCUGAUUUUGUGCAGCAAAAUAUUAUAAAAAGAACUGCCUCCUGUGGCAUGCC
rnacentral:misc_RNA from 1 species